rnacentral:rRNA from 1 species
UCCAGGCAAAUCCGGAUAAUCAAGGCUGAGGUGUGAUGACGAGGCACUACGGUGCUGAAGUAACAAAUGCCCUGCUUCCAGGAAAAGCCUCUAAGCAUCAGGUAACAUCAAAUCGUACCCCAAACCGACACAGGUGGUCAGGUAGAGAAUACCAAGGCGCUUGAGAGAACUCGGGUGAAGGAACUAGGCAAAAUGGUGCCGUAACUUCGGGAGAAGGCACGCUGGUGUGUAGGUGAAGUCCCUGCGGAUGGAGCUGAGACCAGUCGAAGAUACCAGCUGGCUGCAACUGUUUAUUAAAAACACAGCACUGUGCAAACACGAAAGUGGACGUAUACGGUGUGACGCCUGCCCGGUGCCGGAAGGUUAAUUGAUGGGGUUAUCCGUAAGGAGAA